AAUAGCCUAACGGCUGAACCAGCAACUUGGAGGAAUGUAUAGGUAAAGCUAAAUGUAUCUUUUAGUAGUAAUACAUAUUCGAUUUAUUCGUAUAAAGUUCUAGAUAGAAUUAUGAUAAUGACAUUGUCUAUCUAUAAGUCUUGGCCAAAUUACGUGCCAGCAGUCGCGGUAAGACGUAAAAGACUAGUGUUAUUCAUCUUUAAUAGGUUUAAAGCGUACCUAGACGGUAAAUCAAGCCUUAGGGGACUAAUUUAACUAGAGUUAGAUGUAAGGGUGCAUAAACGUACUGUUGUGUGUAGAGAUGAAAUUCUUUUAUACCAGAUUAUUGGCACGGGUUAAGGCGAAAGCAUCACCUUAUGUAAUAACUGACGUUGAGAGACGAAGGCUUUGUGUCGCGAACAGGAUUAGAUACCCUAAUAGUCUAAGCAGAAAAUGAUGAGUGUCAUAGGCUAAAUAUUAUUUGGUCUAUAAAUGAAAGUGUAAGCAUUCCACCUCAAGAGUAAUUUGGCAACAUUGGAAUUGAAAUCAUUAGACCGUUUCUGAAACCAGUAGUGAAGUAUGUUGUUUAAUUAGAUAAUCCACAAAGAACCUUACCACAAUUUGAAUAUUUUACAAGUGUUGCACGGCUGUCUUCAGUUAAUGUCGUGAGAUUAUGGUUAGUUCCAUUAAAUUAACGUAAACCCUUACUUUAUUUUAUAAAAUAUAAAGUUGUUCGCCGCUAGAUUGGUUAGAUAAAAGGGACUAAGACAAGUCAUCAUGGCCUUAAUAUUGUGGGCUAUAGACGUGCCACAUAUGCCUAACAAAGGGAUGCUAAAUUGCAAAAUUAAGCUAAUCCCCUAAAUACGGAUAUAUAUAUGUCGU
rnacentral:rRNA from 1 species